AGUGAACGCUGGCGGUAGGCCUAACACAUGCAAGUCGAACGGCAGCACCGUAAGAGCUUGCUCUUACGGGUGGCGAGUGGCGGACGGGUGAGGAAUACAUCGGACUCUACUUUUUCGUGGGGGAUAACGUAGGUAAACUUACGCUAAUACCGCAUACGACCUACGGGUGAAAGCAGGGGAUCUUCGGACCUUGCGCGAUUGAAUGAGCCGAUGUCGGAUUAGCUAGUUGGCGGGGUAAAGGCCCACCAAGGCGACGAUCCGUAGCUGGUCUGAGAGGAUGAUAGGCCACACUGGAACUGGAACACGGUCCAGACUCCUACGGGAGGCAGCAGUGGGGAAUAUUGGACAAUGGGCGCAAGCCUGAUCCAGCCAUACCGCGUGGGUGAAGGAGGCCUUGGGGUUGUAAAGCCCUUUUGUUGGGAAAGAAAAGCAGCAGGUUAAUACCCCGCGGUUCUGACGGUACCCAAAGAAGAAGCACCGGCUAACUUCGUG
rnacentral:rRNA from 1 species